rnacentral:lncRNA from 1 species
UGUAGCUCUCAGGGUCAGGGCCUAGAGGAAGGGUCUGUGGACAAAACAGGAGCCCUUAGAGCGUUUUGUUUAAGAAUAAGAGAAACUAACUAAAUGAUACAAACUGAGAAGUAACUCAGCUGCAUGUGCCUGCAAAUUCUCUUACACUAUAGGAAAGGCCAGUUGUCUGCCUGAACCACAGCAUCUGAGGAGGACUUUCCCGGUUUGUUCUACUCUGUACUGCCGUUAAAAACAACAACAUCAGCAACAACAACAUGUAUAUAAUUGAGGGCAGGAAACCAGAUAGAUGACUCAAUUUAAGUCCUCCCCAUCCCUCAGUGGAAGAAUGAGUCAACUCUAUUUUUCAAGUAGUUAUUAUGGCAGAAGCAUUAUGGAAAAACCUGGGACCAUGAGCCUGCAUGCCUGGGGUCUAGCUUUAGGCCAGCAACAAGCCUGUGCAAUCCUGGGUGAGUAACCCUCCCUCUCUGGGUCUCCAUUUCCACCUCUCAGUAAAAUCCACAAGG